rnacentral:rRNA from 1 species
UACGACUACAUAUCAGGCAUAUCAAUAAGCGGAGGAAAAGAAACUAACUAGGAUUCCCUCAGUAACGGCGAGUGAAGCGGGAAGAGCUCAAAUUUGAAAUCUUCAAGGUUUACCUUGACGAAUUGUAGUUUAAAGAAGUGUUUUCUGUUGAAGUUUCGGUAAAAGUUCUUUGAAAUAGGACAUCAUAGAGGGUGAGAAUCCCGUAUUUGACCAGUUACUUCCAGCUGUUGUGAUACACUUUCAAAGAGUCGGAUUGUUUGGGAAUGCAGUCCAAAAUGGGUGGUAAAUUUCAUCUAAAGCUAAAUAUUGGCGAGAGACCGAUAGCGAACAAGUACCGUGAGGGAAAGAUGAAAAGAACUUUGAAAAGAGAGUUAAACAGUACGUGAAAUUGUCAAAAGGGAAGCGUUUGACACCAGUGUUGUUUUCUCGAAAAUCAAUUAAAAAUGACCGGAUUUUGUGUUGUAUUGACUUUAUCAGCUUUCUGCACUCUUUUCUUGUCUUUUUUAAUGCACUUUUCGUUUAACAAGUCAACAUCAAUUUCUUUUGUUGUAAAAGAGGUCAUUGGAAGGUGGCUUUCUUUUCGGAGAAAGUGUUUAUAGCCUUUGGCUUCUGCAAUCGGAGAGAUUGAGGUCUGCAGCGUAGAUCCUUCGGGGUUAGAUACAUUUGUGCUAAGUUAUAGCCUUUCAUAGACAACUUGUUGACUAUGAUCAGUCAUGUAGCUUACUCGCUUAUGCUAAUUUUACCUACGCUUAGGAUGUUGACGCGCGUGUGUGCGUG